rnacentral:rRNA from 1 species
UUUUACAAUGGAGAGUUUGAUCCUGGCUCAGGAUGAACGCUAGCUACAGGCUUAACACAUGCAAGUCGCGGGGCAGCAUUCACUUAGCUUGCUAGGUGAGAUGGC